UGGGAGAAAAUGGAUUUUCUGAGUUUGCUGCUUCUUUUCUUCUCGGCAGUGGCUGUGAGCAGAGCUCAGGUGCAGCAGGAGACGGUGGCAGAGACCAGCGAGGGCACCGAAAUCAACAUCACCUGCUCACACCCCAACAUACAGUCAGACGAGUACAUCUACUGGUACCGUCAGCUCCCGGGCCGAGGACCCGCAUUCCUCGUCAGCACCGUUAAAGUCUCCAAGGAAGUGCCGGACCCGGAGGGGCGGCUGUGGGUGUCGGAAGACCGCCGCUCCAGCGCCCUGUGUCUCACCCGGCCCCGGCUCGGCGACGCGGCGGUGUAUUACUGCGCCGUGAACCCACGGGAAGCGAAGCCGGGGCUGCGGCCGGGCACGAACCGCUUAGGGCGGGUCGGGGGCACAGUGCCGUCCGGGCCCGCAGGGGGCGCUGCCUGCAUGGCCGCCAAACUCCAUCCUGACCAGGGUGCAUCUCCCUGAGAGAAACGAGCACGGCACCCGCAGCAGUGAUUUACUGAGGCCAAUGUGAGACAGACACAUCUGUAUUUCAGGUGAGCAAGAUGGCAUAAAUGACUAUGCAAGCUCUGUUGUGCAGCACGGAGCCCUCCUCACAGUUCUGCCAUGUCUGCUAUCCUUGCUUGCUUCCCCGGUGCCACACUGAUGAGAACAGGAGGAGCCCUGUUUCUACGAGACAGCAAUGUGGCUUAUACCCACGCCAUUCCACACAAUUGUAUCUUUUUCCAUAAGCUGAGCAGUGGUGGUGUUCUGGCUUUAAAUAACUACUGGUCUUAGCUGUGGGCAGAAACAUUGCAAGGCAAAGGCUAAUAGUCCCCUGUUCUGCCAUAGACAGAGAGAUCUUGUUCUGCAACGGACAGUGCCCAAGAGAGCAGCCUCUGCAGUGUGUCACAACCUCCCAUUCUUCUGGCAACAGAGGAGUAUCUCCACAGGUUAGGUAGAGGAAACAAAAAGAGACACGAGCCAUGUUUUCAGAAAGCACGGGAUUGCCUCUUGCUUUCAGCAUUUCCUAGAGUAUCCGAGUGGGGUCUGGAAUUCAGAAAGCAGUGGCUUAAAGAUUCCUUCUUGAUGCAGCAUCCUGUUCGUGGUUCAUGGACAAAUUUCUCCCGGACCACGGCCAGCAGCUUUAGCAGGGCGGGCACCUUCUGCCACAGUAGCGGCUGCCCAAGCCGGACAAGUCAAAGCCCCCCGAGGUGAUGGGCACGCCCUCAGAGCUGAGGAUGCUGCCAACAGCAGCGGAGGUGGAGGAGCCCACAACGGUGUUCUGCGGGAAGGAGCUGAGGAUGGGUCCGGGCAGGGUCACCACC